rnacentral:rRNA from 1 species
AAUUAAAAUUAUUAAUAUUUUUUUUUUUAUUUGAUUUUUUAUAAAAGUAAUUUAUUUAUUUAGGGUUUUAGUAUUUAGUAAAAAUUAAUUUAUAGAUUUAUAGUUUAAUAGUAUUGUGAAAGAAUUAAUUAAAUUUUAAAAAGAAUAUUGUAAGUACCUUUUGUAUCAGGGUUAAUUAAAAUUUUUAAUUUUUUUUUGAUUUCUCAAAAUUUAUAGAGUUAAUUUUAUUAUUAAUUUAUUGUAUUAUAAAUAUUUAUAAAAUAAUAUUGGUUUUGAAAUUUAAUUCGUUGUAUUAUAUUUAGUUAUUUAAGAUUUAAAUUUAAUUUAAAAUUUUAAAAGUUAUAUUGAUUUUUUUUUAAUUAAUAUUUUAAAUUUAAAUUAUUUUAGGGAUAAGCUUAAAAUUUUUAUAUAAUGAUUUAUUUAUUUUAAUAAUUUAUAGGAAUAGAAAUUUUUAUUUUAAGUUUGUAAAAAUUUAUUAUUUAUUUAUUUUUAAUUUAUUAUAAAUUUAUUUAUUUUUUUUAUUAAAUUUUAUUAAUUAAUAAUUAAUUUUUAGUAAUAAUGAUUAAAUUAGUAUAAUUUAGAUUUAUAAAUUAUGAAUUCGGCAAAAAUUAUUUUCAUCUGUUUAACAAAAACAUUGUAUUAAGUUUAAUUUAAUAUAGGAUCUGCUCAAUGAUUUAUUAAAUAGCUGCAGUAUUUUGACUGUGCAAAGGUAGCAUAAUAAUUAGUCUUUUAAUUGAGGACUUGUAUGAAAGAUUUGAUGAGAAAUAAACUUUAUUAUUUAUAUAAUUAAAAUUUUAUUUUUAAGUAAAAAAGCUUAAAUUAUUUAAAGGGACGAUAAGACCCUAUAAAACUUUAUAAAUGUUAAUUUUGAUUUUUUUGGAUUUAUAAAUAUUUCAUUUUUAUUAUUUAUUUUAUUGGGGUGAUAAAAAAAAUUAUUAAACUUUUUUUAAAAUUUUACAUUAUUUAAUGAAUCUUUGAAUUAAAAUUUUUAAUUAAAGGAAAAAGUUACUUUAGGGAUAACAGCGUAAUUAAUUUUUUAAGUUCAAAUUUAAAAAUUAGUUUGCGACCUCGAUGUUGAAUUAAGAUUAAUCUUAGGUGCAAAAUUUUAAGUAUUAGGUCUGUUCGACCUUUAAAUUCUUACAUGAUUUGAGUUCAAACCGGUGUAAGCCAGGUUGGUUUCUAUCUUUUAAAAAAUAAUUUAUUUUAGUACGAAAGGAUUAAAUAAUUAAAUUAUAUUUUUAUUAAAUGAAUAAAAUUAAUUUA